GGAGAGGUGGCCGAGUUGGUCUAAGGCGCCCGCUUGCUAAGCGGUCGCACGGGUAAAACCGUGCCGGGAGUUCGAAUCUCCCCCUCUCCG
rnacentral:tRNA from 1 species